rnacentral:lncRNA from 1 species
UGGAGGAGAGUGGAGCUUGUUCAGCCCAGUCUGGAGUGGCAUGCUCUUCUUGGUUCAGCAGGAAGACACAGGCUUCUGAAGGUAAAGUUUUCAAGGUUAUAUUUUGACCAUUUGAAACAUUUGAGCUCCAUUAGAAGAAGCAACAUGGUAGGGUGAAUGGAGGAAUAAUCAGGAAGACCUGAGUUCCAGUUCUAUUUGUGAAACUAUGGCUAAGGACCUUCAUUUCCCAGUGCUUCAGGCAACUCUUUAAGUCUCGAGUUGCAGACCAUCCCCAAUGGAACUAAUAAAAUGGUAAUUCUGAAUUCAGAACCAAAUACAUACAGUGUAAGGGCUAGACAAUGGGGGUCAAGUCACUUGCCCAGGGAUACACAGCUAGGAAGUGUCUGA